ACUGUAGAGCAAUGGGUCGCGCGUUGGACUUCUAAUCCAAAGGUCGUGCGUUCGAAUGCUACCUUAGAUG